rnacentral:hammerhead_ribozyme from 1 species
AUCCAGCUGAUGAGUCCCAAAUAGAACGAAAUGCCCGUCACGGAU